rnacentral:rRNA from 1 species
CACGAGUGGCGAACGGGUGAGUAACACGUGGGUAAUCUGCCCUGCACUUCGGGAUAAGCCUGGGAAACUGGGUCUAAUACCGGAUAUGAACUCCUGCCGCAUGGUGGGGGUUGGAAAGUUUUUCGGUGCAGGAUGAGCCCGCGGCCUAUCAGCUUGUUGGUGGGGUAAUGGCCUACCAAGGCGACGACGGGUAGCCGGCCUGAGAGGGUGAUCGGCCACACUGGGACUGAGACACGGCCCAGACUCCUACGGGAGGCAGCAGUGGGGAAUAUUGCACAAUGGGCGAAAGCCUGAUGCAGCGACGCCGCGUGGGGGAUGACGGUCUUCGGAUUGUAAACCCCUUUCAGUAGGGACGAAGCGCAAGUGACGGUACCUGCAGAAGAAGCACCGGCUAACUACGUGCCAGCAGCCGCGGUAAUACGUAGGGUGCGAGCGUUGUCCGGAAUUACUGGGCGUAAAGAGCUCGUAGGCGGUUUGUCACGUCGUCUGUGAAAUCCCUCGGCUUAACCGGGGGCGUGCAGGCGAUACGGGCAGACUUGAGUACUACAGGGGAGACUGGAAUUCCUGGUGUAGCGGUGAAAUGCGCAGAUAUCAGGAGGAACACCGGUGGCGAAGGCGGGUCUCUGGGUAGUAACUGACGCUGAGGAGCGAAAGCAUGGGUAGCGAACAGGAUUAGAUACCCUGGUAGUCCAUGCCGUAAACGGUGGGCAGCUAGGUGUGGGGUCCUUCCACGGACUCCGUGCCGUAGCUAACGCAUUAAG